AAGGAUUAAAAUAGCAGGAAAUGGCUCUAGUUUUUCGUAUAAUCAUGGAAGAUUUUUUAGCUUUUAAGUAGCUUGUAACAGUCAUGCAAUAUAGUAUAGGAGUUAGCUAAUACAAUGAACAUGAAUUCAACAGUAGGUCCACAGAUAACUACAACUAUAUAAAGUUCUUAUUAGAGCAAAGAAUAUCAGAAAGCUACAAAGUAGACUCUUUA
rnacentral:lncRNA from 1 species